UGCAGGAACGUGGCAUGGGAGCAGAGCCCUCUCUGCUCUGGCAGGUAUGAGGGUUUCUCCCCACAGAGGUUUCUGCUUUAGGGGCUCCAAGGCUGCUAGUGUGGGGAUGGUGUGGGGAAGGGCUCAUCCUUCCUCAUGGAAAAGCUGAAGGAAAUGUUGUGCUGAGGCCUGCAACUUUUGGAUGACAGCUGGUCCCCUUGUUCUCUGGUUGCUGCCAGGAGCAGCCUGGCACCUCCUGUGAGGGGGACAGCCUGAGGGAAUGUAGGAGAACCUUCUGGAACUGGAAGGUUCCUAGAGUAGAGCUGGGCCUGUCUGCAGUUAUUCCUUCACACUGUGGCAAGAGAGAGCAGCCACAGCUACCUGCUGUGCUUACACUGCCAUCCCGCCUGUAUUUUGUCCCUGUUGAACCCAUUGUUGGUGAGGUGCACAGACAUGGCCUGAAAGUCGCUGUGGUGGUGCCUGAGGGGUGCUGAGGGUUGUGCUGCAGCUCCCUGUCAGGACCUGGCGCUGUGAGGAACCACUGGCCCUGCGCUGCUUCAGCUGCUGCACAUGAGGAUUUCUGUGGGCCUUCAGGGUUUUUAUCCACUGAAUGAGUCUUGAUGCAGACUGGGCUAUCACUAUGGAAAGGCUUAGUAGGAACAAGCUUACUAGAGGUUUGUACUGCGAAUCUAUGCAGAAUCCUACAAAUCCUGUGAAACUGAGUGACCUGAGCUGUACGAAUAGUAGAAAACAGCUGAAAUGUUCAGUUACGCACUGCAUAAAAACUGAGGUUCAAAAACAGUGUUUAGCAAGGUAAUG